GCUGGGUAUGGUGGCUUAUGCCUGUAAUCCCAGCACUUUGGGAGGCAGAGGUGGGCGGAUCACCUGAGGCCAGGAGAUUGAGACCAGCCUGGCCAACAUGGUGAAACCCCAUCUCUA
rnacentral:SRP_RNA from 2 species